rnacentral:rRNA from 1 species
GAUGAACGCUAGCGGCAGGCUUAAUACAUGCAAGUCGUGGGGCAGCAGGUUUGUAGCAAUACAGAUGCUGGCGACCGGCAAACGGGUGCGGAACACGUACAGAACCUUCCUUUGAGCGGGGAAUAGCCCAGAGAAAUUUGGAUUAAUACCCCAUAGUAUAAUGAAGUGGCAUCACUUUAUUAUUAAAGAUUUAUCACUCGAGGAUGGCUGUGCGGCUGAUUAGGUAGUUGGCGGGUAAAGGCCCACCAAGCCUGCGAUCAGUAACUGGUGUGAGAGCACGACCAGUCACACGGGCACUGAGACACGGGCCCGACUCCUACGGGAGGCAGCAGUAAGGAAUAUUGGUCAAUGGAGGCAACUCUGAACCAGCCAUGCCGCGUGGAGGAUGAAGGUCCUCUGGAUUGUAAACUUCUUUUAUAUGGGACGAAAAAAGGCUUUUCUAAGUCGUCUGACGGUACCAUAUGAAUAAGCACCGGCUAACUCCGUGCCAGCAGCCGCGGUAA